rnacentral:rRNA from 1 species
GCAAGUCGGACGGGAUCCAUGGCUUCGGCUGUGGUGAGAGUGGCGAACGGGUGAGUAACACGUAGGUUAUCUACCUUUGGGUGGGGGAUAGCCCAUGGAAACAUGGGGUAAUACCGCAUAAUGCCGUAAGGUUAAAGGAGCAAUUGUUCCGCCUGAGGAUGAGCCUGCGGUCCAUUAGCUAGUUGGUGAGGUAAGAGCUCUACCAAGGCAACGAUGGAUAGCCGGCCUGAGAGGGUGAAC